rnacentral:rRNA from 1 species
GAUGAACGCUGGCGGCGUGCCUAACACAUGCAAGUCGAACGGAGAUUACGGACGGAAGUUUUCGGAUGGAAGCCUGUAAUUCUUAGUGGCGGACGGGUGAGUAACGCGUGGGCAACCUGCCCUAUACAGGGGGAUAGCAGCUGGAAACGGCUGGUAAGACCGCAUAAGUCGGUUAAAUCGCAUGAUUUGAUCGGGAAAUGAGCAAUCAGGUAUAGGAUGGGCCCGCGUCCGAUUAGCCAGUUGGCAGGGUAAAAGCCUACCAAAGCGACGAUCGGUAGCCGGACUGAGAGGUCGGACGGCCACAUUGGGACUGAGACACGGCCCAAACUCCUACGGGAGGCAGCAGUGGGGGAUAUUGCACAAUGGAGGAAACUCUGAUGCAGCGACGCCGCGUGAGUGAAGUAGUAUUUCGGUAUGUAAAGCUCUAUCAGCAGGGAAGAUGAUGACGGUACCUGACUAAGAAGCCCCGGCUAACUACGUG